CAUACAGAGCCCCACUGACUUCCAUGGGCCCUCUGCGUCACUGCCAGGGCCCACCCACAAUGCGCACACUUGCAGGGCUAGGGCCUGCUUUGCCGAGCGGCGCCAGCACCCCGGGAGCGGGGCGCAGAGGAGCGUUGGAAAUAACGUUACUGUCGCGAGUCGCGUUAUCCCGCUCAGGCAGCGCCCGGCGCGGGGUGAAAACAGCGAGAACGAGCGGUGCCGGGGGGCUGUUCCCGCAGGAGAAGGGGGCACGACGUGCAGGGUGGCUGCGGCACCCAGGGCUCCGGCGGCAGAGAUUUUCAGAAACAUCCUGCCUUUUGUCCCUGUGCCAGAAAAAAUGUGUCAGCAUCCAAAAUGAAAACAGCCUACAGCACAGACAAAAAUCACAGCUUCUACACUGGGCAGUAUAGAACCCCGAGAAACCCAGGAAUUUUUUGUCAGUUCUUGGAAUCACUUUGGGCCCAGAAAAUCUUAAAUAUGAAAAAAUCUUCAAGAAAAAGAAAUACAUAUUGAGAGAUAAGGUCAACUGUAUGAGCAGCGUAUAUUUGUAUAUCCUUCUUCCCUUCAUACCUCCAAAGUAUGCAGUGUGGUACAUACUCCAGACACUCCGAAACUGGUUCAGGGCGACCUGUUGCCAACAA